UACACACCGCCCGUCACACCGAUGGGGAGUGGGUUCCACCAGAAGUAGUUAGCCUAACCGCAAGGGAGGGCGACUACCACGGUGAGAUUCAUGACUGGGGUG
rnacentral:rRNA from 1 species